AUUGAACGCUGGCGGCAUGCCUUACACAUGCAAGUCGAACGGUAACAGGUUAAGCUGACGAGUGGCGAACGGGUGAGUAAUGUAUCGGAACGUGCCCAGUCGUGGGGGAUAACUACUCGAAAGAGUGGCUAAUACCGCAUACGACCUGAGGGUGAAAGCGGGGGACCGUAAGGCCUCGCGCGAUUGGAGCGGCCGAUAUCAGAUUAGCUAGUUGGUGGGGUAAAAGCCCACCAAGGCGACGAUCUGUAGCUGGUCUGAGAGGACGACCAGCCACACUGGGACUGAGACACGGCCCAGACUCCUACGGGAGGCAGCAGUGGGGAAUUUUGGACAAUGGACGCAAGCCUGAUCCAGCAAUGCCGCGUGCAGGAAGAAGGCCUUCGGGUUGUAAACUGCUUUUGUACGGAACGAAACGGCCUGGGUUAAUACCCUGGGCUAAUGACGGUACCGUAAGAAUAAGCACCGGCUAACUACGUGCCAGCCGCCGCCGUAAGAC
rnacentral:rRNA from 1 species